rnacentral:lncRNA from 1 species
CAUAAACUAUUUUAUUUAGUUUGGGUUUGGAAAAACCCAUGGGUUGUGGGUUUAUGCCCCCCCAUUGUAAUUACACAAAAAAACUCAUUCAAAUUUUUACGUAUUCAUUUUUAUUUCACAAAUAUCCCUCACUUUUAUGUCACAUUAAACCCGAAAGUGAUUUCUUUUUUUUUUUUACUUUCCGAAAGUGAUUUCUUUUUCUUUUUCUUUUUUCUUUUUAACUUCUUCGUCUAAAAGUCUAAAAG